GGAGAGAGAUUGAGAGACAGAAAGAGAGACAAUAAGGGAGUAUGCUAUAUACCCAAACACAUAAAGGCAAAGCGAGCCAUGACCAGAGCAAACAUCUCCCACUCCAUCUCCACCACUACCACAACAAGUACCAAUCCCAGCCGUCUCCGUCUCGCCGCCGCUACCAAUGCCGUCGCCUUAGUUAACUUUCUCUUCUUAGUCUACCGCUCUCUCCGCCUCCAUGUCUCACUCGCUCGGCCACUCCUCCUCCUCCGCUGCUGCUGCUACUAGCUUGUACUGCGGUGAGGACGCCGGCGACAUCGUCUCCUGUUGCGCAGACACGUUGAUCUCUGAUCAGCCCCCAUCUACGUCUCUCUUCGCUCAUUCUUCGCCGUCCAAUGAGUCCACCAUUUCCGCGCUCAUCGACUCGGAGACCCACCACGUUCCCCACCCGGACUAUCUCAGACGCUGUCGCGACCGCUCGAUCGACGUUACCGCUCGCCAAGACUCCAUCAACUGGAUCUUGAAGGUGCAUGCGUAUUAUCACUUCAGACCGGUUACGGCUUUCCUCUCCAUCAACUACUUCGACCGUUUCCUCUCCUCCCAAUCUCUACCGCAACCAAAUGGGUGGCCUUUUCAGCUGCUAUCAGUGGCGUGUUUGUCUUUAGCGGCGAAAAUGGAGGAGCCCCAGGUCCCACUUCUGUUCGACCUUCAAGUAUUUGAGCCCAAGUUCGUCUUCGAAUCGAAAACGGUUCAGAGAAUGGAGCUAUGGGUCAUGGCCAUUCUCGAUUGGAGAUUGCGCUCUGUCACACCCUUCGAUUUCCUUGACUAUUUCAUCUCCAAACUCGCAUCUUCUUCGACUCCUAAACCCGAGCUCUUCAACCGCGUCUUCUCCGCUUGUUCGGAUCUCAUUCUGAGCACCACCCGUGCGAUCGAUUUCUUGGGUUUUUCGCCGUCGACAAUAGCUGCAGCUGCCGUGCUUUGUGCCACUGCUGAAGGUUCUGAUUCGCUGGCGUUAGAUGGCAAAUUGCCUGUGGUUUUUCACGAGAGUGUAAACAAAGAAACGGUGAGAAGCUGUCACCAACUAAUGGAGGAGUACCUGAUCGACACGUGUCCAGCGGCUCGCCUUAAAGACCGGAGAUCGGAGGCGGUGGCGCCACCAAGCCCCAUUGGCGUCCUUGACGCCGCUGCCUGUGGAAGCUGCGACACGCGUUCGGAGAACCCCGGCUCAAUUGUGUUGGCCGAAGCAGAAGCCGAGCCGCCAACGAAGAGGAUACGAAUGCGAUCAUCUGCGCCAGAUUCUACAGAAGCGGUACUAAGAUAAGGCACCAAACAAGUCCUAUUUUUCUCUCUUUUCACAUCUUUUGUCAGAGAAAGAGAGGUCUCCUUUUUUUUUUUUUUUUAUGUUUUGCAUUUGGUUCUUUUUUAGAAAUCGUCAUUAAAGUCUUCUUUUUUGACCUCUGGAUUAUGAAAUGGACGGCCAGGAUUGGAACCAAAGCCCCCCAGGGGCUGGUCCAGCUACUAAUUGUGGGCAUUUGGGUCAUUGGAAAAGACGUGGGGAGUUGUCCGAAAUACCCCCAACAACUAUACGUAUUUCCGUAGUAAUACUUUACUUUCUUGAUCGAGGGUGGAUGUAAUGUUUGACGUUGGCGACUGGGCCAGUGGACCCGUGCCACGUGCACGACAGGAAGUACGGCCAAGUGGGGUUUGUGCAGUACGCGGCGUAUGUCUCCCAUCCGUAGAUGU